AUACGGAGGGUGCAAGCGUUGUUCGGAAUCACUGGGCGUAAAGGAUGCGUAGGCUGGAUGUCAAGUUGGAAGUGAAAUCCUAUGGCUUAACCAUAGAACUGCUUCCAAAACUGGCAACCUAGAGUGAGGGAGAGGCAGAUGGAAUUAGUGGUGUAGGGGUAAAAUCCGUAGAUAUCACUAGGAAUACCGAUUGCGAAGGCGAUCUGCUAGAACUCUACUGACGCUAAGGCAUGAAAGCGUGGGGAGCAAACAGGAUUAGAAACCCGAGUAGUCC
rnacentral:rRNA from 1 species